GAUGAACGCUGGCGGCGCGCCUAACACAUGCAAGUCGAACGAUUAAAGCACCUUCGGGUGUGUAUAAAGUGGCGAACGGCUGAGUAACACGUGGGCAACCUGCCCCUUUCAUUGGGAUAGCCACGGGAAACCGUGGAUAAUACCGAAUACUUCGAGACUUCCGCAUGGAAGACUCGAGAAAGCUCCGGCGGAGAGGGAUGGGCCCGCGGCCUGUUAGCUUGUUGGUGGGGUAACGGCCUACCAAGGCAAUGAUGGGUAGCUGGGUUGAGAGACCGACCAGCCAGAUUGGGACUGAGACACGGCCCAGACUCCUACGGGAGGCAGCAGUGGGGAAUCUUGCACAAUGGGCGAAAGCCUGAUGCAGCGACGCCGCGUGCGGGAUGAAGGCCUUCGGGUUGUAAACCGCUUUCAGCAGGGACGAGGCGAAAGUGACGUACCUGC
rnacentral:rRNA from 2 species